AAAAAAGAUGACCAUCUAUUUUUCAAUAAAAAAAUGUUUAAAUGGUGAGCAAAGAAAAAUUGACAAAAAAAAUGUGUAUUGUUACAAAAAGUCAAAGCUUUUCAAAAUGUCCAAUUCGGGACAAGUUGUAGUUCAUUUGAAUUAUCCAUAUUUUUUCAAACAUCAUUAAAGUGUACUUUUAUUUAUUUAAGAUAUUAUAACAAAGAAUCUCUUAAGAAAUUCAUUCAUUCAUUCAUUUUCUUGACUGCUUUGUCCCUUUCGGGGUCGCAGGGGUACCGGAGCCUAACCCGGCCACUGAUGGGUGAAGGCACGGUUUACCCUGGACAGGUCACCAGUCUGUCGCAGGGCCUAUUAAGAAAUUAUUUUCUGUUUUUGUUUGUUUCUGCAGAUUGAGCCAUUAUACAAAAAAGACUUUCCUUCAUUCAGCUUCCUGGCAGUGACUGGAUUCAGGUAACCAUGUGUGGUGCUUUUGCUGUUUUUGUUUUGUUUUUUUUCUUUUCUGGGGGCAAUGUCUUUAGAUAGUCUAUCAUAAAUAUACUUAUACUGCUUGGUGUUUUAUUGAUUCACAGAAAUGGAUCGAUAUACAACAUUAUGAACCUCUACUUUGCAUCAACAUCUCGGCCAAGCCGCUCUCAAAUUGCUGACGUUUUGGUCAAGGCGGCACCAAACAUUACUCAGUUUGAAGUAGAGAUCACAUCUGUAAUUGUGGAUGGAGCAGAUGCUACAACUCCAGCUUCUCUAGCAAAUACAACGUUUCUGUCUCGCUUUACCAAAGCUAUACCAGCAACAAAACAAAAUGCUGCAAAUACAACAAUGACUAUUCUCUCAGGUGCACCAGCAAAUACCACAGUUACUCCAAGAACAACCCAAACUACUUCAAUGACGUCAACCACUACCAAAACAACUACCACUACUACAGAAAUAAUAACAACAAAACAAUUGAGAUUUAGGUCUCCUGGAGAGACAUUCACAACUGAUUUGCUAAAUCCAUCAUCUGCUGGAUUUACCAGACGAGCCUUAUUGAUCAAAACUACACUUGAGCCGUACUACAAACGAGCGUUUGCUUCAUUACGCAGUUUCACAGUAAUUGCAUUCAGGUAAUCAAUUAUAAUGAUCUGAUUCGUCUUAUAACCCUUUAACACCAGAGCUCCAGUGUUUAUGUUCUUUGAUUUGCUGUAGCUUUUCAGCUGUUACCUC